rnacentral:rRNA from 1 species
ACGGACGAACGCUGGCGGCGUGCCUAACACAUGCAAGUCGAACGGAGUUAAUGACUCGGUUGUAACUUAGUGGCGAACGGGUGAGUAACGCGUGAACAACCUGACCCAAAGAGGGGGAUAACAUUUGGAAACAGAUGCUAAUACCGCAUAAGACCACAACGUCACAUGGCGAAGGGGUCAAAGGAGCAAUCCGCUUUGGGAGGGGUUCGCGUCCCAUUAGGUAGAUGGCGGGGUAACGGCCCACCAUGCCAACGAUGGGUAGCCGAGCUGAGAGGCUGAUCGGCCACACUGGAACUGAGACACGGUCCAGACUCCUACGGGAGGCAGCAGUGGGGAAUAUUGGGCAAUGGGCGCAAACGCCUCGACCCAGCAACGCCGCGUGAGGGAAGUAAGGUUUUCGGAUUGUAAACCUCUGUCGCAGAAGACGAAGGAAGUGACGGUAUUCUGUGAGGAAGCCCCGGCUAACUACGUGCCAGCCGCCGC